rnacentral:rRNA from 1 species
CCUACGGGCGACAGCAGUGAGGAAUAUUGGUCAAUGGACGAGAGUCUGAACCAGCCAAGUAGCGUGAAGGAUGACUGCCCUAUGGGUUGUAAACUUCUUUUAUAUGGGAAUAAAAUGUUUCACGUGUGGGAUUUUGUAUGUACCAUAUGAAUAAGGAUCGGCUAAUUCCGUGCCAGCAGCCGCGGUAAUACGGAGGAUCCGAGCGUUAUCCGGAUUUAUUGGGUUUAAAGGGAGCGUAGGUGGAUUGUUAAGUCAGUUGUGAAAGUUUGCGGCUCAACCGUAAAAUUGCAGUUGAAACUGGCAGUCUUGAGUACAGUAGAGGUGGGCGGAAUUCGUGGUGUAGCGGUGAAAUGCUUAGAUAUCACGAAGAACUCCGAUUGCGAAGGCAGUUCACUGGACUGCAACUGACACUGAGGCUCGAAAGUGUGGGUAUCAAACAGGAUUAGAUACCCUAGUAGUC